UGGCAAUGUAGUAAGGGCUUAGUCUAUAGGGAAUAUGGUAUCUUAAUUUUUCAAUCAUUCCUGUAAGAUAAUCUUUACUUGUUUUACAAAUUACAUUUAAGUCCAAAAGAUUAACAUUAUUGUCAUGUUCAUUACCACUCAGCUAGUAAAUAGUGAUAUAGCAGCUCCUGGCUGCUAGUAUUUCCUCAUAACAGCCAAGUGCAUUUCUGCCUUGGGGCCUUUGCACUUGCUCUUCUGCCUAGAAAACUGAAGAAUUCAUGUGUCUGUUGCAGACUCAGUUCCAGGAAGCUUUCUUGCCUAAGCAACUUCUAAAAUGGUACUUUUAUCCUUUUCUCCCUCAUCCCGCUCAUUUUCUGAACACCUAUGAUCAUUAUCUGAAGUUAUAUAAUUACUUACCUCUUGUCCUCUUUCCCCACUAAGACUAACUAAAGCUGUUCUUAGGGGCAUGCGUUGGUUAAUUGUUGGAUUCCUGUGCCCUGUACAUAAUCCACUCUAUCAAUAAGUGUUGAAUGAAUGGUUAUGGCAGUGUGUCCCGAUCCAAGAUCCACACAUACGUUCCUUCAGAAGCCACUAAUUCUCUGCUAGAAUUUCUUUAAUUUAGUAUUUUCUUUUUUGAUUACUUAAUUUUUGUAUUAGUUUAAUGCUAGUCAAAAACAUUACUGUCUGGAUGAACACUCUAAAUCAUGUAGUUUUGUGCCUGAGUUCACAGUGCGCCUAGGAUUUUGGAUCACUUGAUAGAAAAAUACAUAAGGGUUUCAUAAUGUAAUAAAGGAAAGCAUUUGGAGAGUUGAAGCUUCACAUGUUUAGUAACUUGAUGUGGCAAAUUCAGAGAGCCAUCACUGUAACUACCAGUGCCUUAUUCCCAUUAAAAAGGAUAUUGCACAGAACAUGCGCUCAUACAUAUACCUUUAUUCACAACAAAUGAAGUGAUAAUACAGGAGAGAUUGUUUUA